rnacentral:tRNA from 1 species
ACCUGGCUGGCUUAGCUAGUGGAGCAUGAAACUCUUGAUCUCGAGGCCGUGAGUUCAAGCCCCAUGCUGGGUA